CAAAAUAAAGCUUAAUAGUAAGCACCCCACUUACACUGGGUAGAAGUUGUGCAAAUCAAUCUAUUUUGA
rnacentral:tRNA from 1 species